AUUGAACGCUGGCGGCAGGCCUAACACAUGCAAGUCGAACGAGUGGCGGACGGGUGAGUAAUGUCUGGGAAACUGCCCGAGGGAGGGGGAUAACUAAUGGAAACGGUAGCUAAUACCGCAUACCAUCGGAUGUGCCCAGAUGGGCUUAGCUAGUAGGUGGGGUAACGGCUCAACUAGGCGACGAUCCCUAGGUGGUCUUAGAGGAUGACCAGCCACACUGGAACUGAGACACGGUCCAGACUCCUACGGGAGGCAGCAGUUGGGAAUAGUGCACAAUGGGCGCAAGCCGGAUGCAGCCAUGCCGCGUGUAUGAAGAAGGCCUUCGGGUUGUAAAGUACUUUCAGCGGGGAGGCGUUACCCGCAGAAGAAGCACCGGCUAACUCCGUGCCAGCCGCCGCGGUAAUAC
rnacentral:rRNA from 1 species